rnacentral:tRNA from 1 species
GGCGGUUUGCCCGAGUGGUCAAAGGGAGCAGACUGUAAAUCUGCCGGCUCAGCCUACGUUGGUUCGAACCCAACAGCCGCCACCA